UGGAAGAGUUUUCAGUGUUGUUUGUUUUCUUUUCGAGAAUCUUAGAAGAAAAAAAAGAGAGGGAAAAACAAUGGCGGCCGAGGAGGAGAGCGGAGAGUUUUACCUCCGUUACUACGUAGGGCAUAAAGGGAAAUUUGGGCACGAAUUUUUGGAGUUCGAGUUCAGGCCGGACGGGAAGCUCCGAUAUGCUAACAACUCCAACUACAAAAACGACACCAUGAUCCGCAAAGAGGUCUUCCUCACCCCUGCCGUUCUCAAGGAAUGCCGCCGCAUCAUCACCGAGAGCGAGAUCAUGAAGGAAGAUGACAACAACUGGCCAGAACCCGACCGUGUCGGACGGCAGGAGCUCGAGAUUGUGAUGGGGAAUGAGCAUAUUUCUUUCACUACUUCGAAGAUUGGGUCCCUUGUUGAUGUUCAGAGCAGCAAGGAUCCCGAAGGGCUUCGUAUAUUUUAUUAUCUGGUUCAGGACUUGAAGUGCUUUGUGUUCUCUCUCAUCUCGCUCCACUUCAAGAUCAAGCCUAUUUGAAGAUUGAUAAUCCCCUUCCAUGCAGAGGUGUCACAAGGGCCGUUUUCACUGUUCCUGCUAUUGGAGGGAUAUCUAAAACUUGGAGACUGAAAUCAGUUGAUGGCGACCUCCUAGACAAAAAGUCCGCAGCUCUAUUUGCUUCUCUAAGAACAUGGCAGAAUAGGAUUUCCCAGGGACGCCUGCAAAACUCUUUAAUGCAUCGAGUAGCUGAUAUCCAAGACUUCAGUGCUGCUAUUUAAGGCGUUAACAGCUAAAAGGUUAUCAGACUACCCCGUCCAUAAUAUGCUCCAAAGCUGCGCUACGAAGACUGAAUAGUAUCCUACCUUUCUACAGAAGUCAAAUAAGCAUUCCCUUUCUCCAUCCAAGAGGUGGCGUAGACCAAUUAACAUGAAUAUGGCAUGAUCUCCGUUCCUCAAGUUCUCCUUUAUUUUUCUUGCUUUAAUAGCAACAGCCCAGCUGGUACAUUGAGACAAGAUCUCCUGAAUAAAAGGUUCUGCUGCUUGAAGAUUACGUCAUUUCGUUGCUUCCAAACAUAGAGCUCCAAUCAUACUCAGAAAAUACCUCAAAGCUGUUACAGCGACAGUUGAAAGAACAAGCUUCGCUUAUUGGACAGGACAAUCUGCUUCCACACUUUGAAUCGCAAACUCCACGUCCCCUCCACAUCGAUAACAAGAGGCAACAUUGCAGGUAUGCGCCAGAAGAAUUACCAAAUUUAUGAUUUAAUGUUCCAGCUGCUCGAGGCAAUAAAUUUAAAAGCUUCAGCCACUGUAACUUGCCUAUAAUGGCCCCAUUUAUAAGCUGAACAAGUAGAGGAGGUCGUAUACCAGCAAUAUACAUGACGGAUCACACAGCUAGCAA